rnacentral:rRNA from 1 species
CACGUAGGAGGCGAGCGUUGUCCGGAAUCAUUGGGCGUAAAGAGCUCGUAGGCGGCUUGUCGCGUCGACUGUGAAAUCCCGCGGCUCAACCGCGGGUCUGCAGUCGAUACGGGCAGGCUAGAGUUCGGUAGGGGAGACUGGAAUUCCUGGUGUGAGCGGUGAAAUGCGCAGAUAUCAGGAGGAACACCGAUGGCGAAGGCAGGUCUCUGGGCCGAUACUGACGCUGAGGAGCGAAAGCGUGGGGAGCGAACAGG